CGCGGUGAAUACGUUCCCGGGCCUUGUACACACCGCCCGUCACACCAUGGGAGUGGGUUGCAAAAGAAGUAGGUAGCUUAACCUUUUUGGAUGGCGCUUACCACUUUGUGAUUCAUGACUGGGGUGAAGUCGUAACAAGGUAACCGUAGGGGAACCUGCGGUUGGAUCACCUCCUUACCGAG
rnacentral:rRNA from 1 species